UGCAUCGGCCGGGAAUCGAACUUGGGCCGCCCACGUGGCAGGCGAGCAUUCUACCACUGAACCACCGAUGG
rnacentral:tRNA from 1 species